CUACGGGAGGCAGCAGUGGGGAAUCUUGCACAAUGGAGGAAACUCUGAUGCAGCGAUGCCGCGUGAGUGAAGAAGGCCCUUGGGUUGUAAAGCUCUUUCGUCGGGGAAGAAAAUGACUGUACCCGAAUAAGAAGGUCCGGCUAACUUCGUGCCAGCAGCCGCGGUAAUACGAAGGGACCUAGCGUAGUUCGGAAUUACUGGGCUUAAAGAGUUCGUAGGUGGUUGAAAAAGUUAGUGGUGAAAUCCCAGAGCUUAACUCUGGAACUGCCAUUAAAACUUUUCAGCUAGAGUAUGAUAGAGGAAAGCAGAAUUUCUAGUGUAGAGGUGAAAUUCGUAGAUAUUAGAAAGAAUACCAAUUGCGAAGGCAGCUUUCUGGAUCAUUACUGACACUGAGGAACGAAAGCAUGGGUAGCGAAGAGGAUUAGAUACCCUCGUAGUCCAUGCCGUAAACGAUGUGUGUUAGACGUUGGAAAUUUAUUUUCAGUGUCGCAGCGAAAGCGAUAAACACGCCGCCUGGGGAGUACGACCGCAAGGUUAAAACUCAAAGGAAUUGACGG
rnacentral:rRNA from 1 species